GCGGAGACGAACAGGGCAAAAUCUACAUAACUUCAAAUUCAACAACCAGCACAAACAAUCCAAGAUGAAACUAAGCUUCUACUCCAUUUUUCAUUUUACUGAAACUUAUUCAAGAACAGAAGAUAGUCACAAAUCCCUCCUCACAGUUCAGAGUCACUGGGAAAAGAGUACAAGCAUUGGUGUCUCAUCUUGCAGUGUGCAGAGGAAGUUGAGACCCUCCUCCUGGGUUUUAUAUUUACCAGCUCUAUGGCACAGAGAAUAUGGUGAAAGAACUCUAAAUAAAUACAAUAAACAAUGAAAUGGUGUUCUUUGAGAGAACAGGCACAGGAACUAAAUCUUUUGUUUGGAAGCUGAAUUAAGUACAUGAAUUAAGACACUUUCUGUGCCAGUGUCACUUAAUGCUAAGUGUGAAAUAAAGUGUGAAUUUCAGUAUCAUCAAAGUCUGAUGACCUGGGCCCUGAUUGAGCAAGGUAUCUGAGCACAUGCCUAACAAAAUAGUCACACUGAAGUAAAUGGCAUUAUUUAUAUGCACAAAGGUAGGCACAUGUUAAAAUUCCUUGCUGAACGGAAACCCUAACGAGGAUCUGAAUUCAAAAUGGUAGCUCACAUUUCGUUCCCUUUGAGUGAAAUACAAAUAAGCACCUCUUUUGAAUGCUGUGGAAUGGGGAGCACUUUACAGUCGCAUAAAACUAGAAGUGAACAGGCAAACAUUUUUGAAAUAGGAAAAGAUCAUUUGGGAGUAUAGCAAGAAAGACUUAAACAACACAUUUCCCCUCCAAAAUAUCCUUGACAAGGCCCUGUGAAAGUUGAAUGUUGGACUACUUGUUUCCUCUGCAAUAAAAGAGUUCAUACAUGUGAGUGUCUUUGAUAUUGGAGCAGGGUGUGUGAAUGCUAGAUGAGAACUAUUUAUCAUUGGUUAGUGCUUGAUGCUUUCUUAUACCUGGU